AGAGAGAAGGAUAAGAAACGGUUUGUUGUUCUCACUGUUUUAAUUUUAUAAUCCAAGAAAUACUAAAUAUAAUCUAAUUAAGGCAGUGGAUUAUAUAUUUGAAGAAAACAGCUCGACUUCCAUAAUUGGUGAUCCGGACGUGAUCCCUGUGGAUUACGAUAGUGCGCGGUACUAAUUCCAUAUUUAUUCGCGUGUCAUUACAAACAUCUAUAUGUAAGAAAGUGACUCUUAGUCGCUCGCCAGUUCGCGACAGUCAAAAUAGACUGGCCACCUCACCGCGGCUCACGCCACAAAUAGGGGGACGAGCUCGGGCAAACAACCAAAAAUAGUGUAAAAGCCAAUUAUAUACAUAUUUACAUAUGUAUGACCAGUGAUCAUGAGAUUUGAUUCAUUCGCAUUGAAGCACAGUCCGCCCCACGUAACAUAAGCAAUAGCGACACCAUGAAGCCUAAAAUACUUAGGGAACCCUCCUAUAUUCUCAGAGCACCACCACCACACCACACCUAUGGGCAAACCUUAUCAAGCGCUUCAGGGAUUUAGUUGAUCGCCAGUUAAAUAAACUCUCCACGCAUCGGAAGAGCUUUUCGCAGCAAAUAGCAGAUUCUGAUACUGAGCAUCGUAUGCAAAUUUCUCAAAGCCUUUCAAAACCACAGCACACUCGAUGAACAAGCUGAAGCUGCUGACAACGCCAUGGAAAAUCACUCCAUCUCUCGUAACAUGUCUGCCAGUAUGCAGGGUCAGCCCGCAGCCCAGAGUCCCUAGACGCAUUUGAACCUGGACGGCAGAAACUCCCCCGAACAAAGACUUAGUGGUCUCGAGAGAGAAACUUCCAACACUGCUGUACAGGGAAUACAACAAAGGUGCCACCAAUUAGUACAGGCAUUUGGCGACAGUAAUCACCAUGUACGGCCCGAAAUAACCUCGUGUUUUAUAAAUGCUCAUCACACUCUGCUGACAAAAUAUGGCGCCAGAUUUUUUAGUAUCAUCGCAGGCUAUAAACGGCAUUCAUCGAUAUACCUACCUAUCCAGAGACGACCCCACAUACUCAACAUAUGUCCACCAUAUGAAGGUACCCGGAAAGAUACUAACCACCUUUUAACAUGCCACUUUAAGCGCCUCACCCGGCAGCACUCUCCCUUCGGACCCACACCUACCUUUAAAUGAGAUUGACGACAACGACCGCUGACUUCACCGUGCCCGGCAAGGCCUGAUAAAACGAUACAACAACAUCCUAAGAUGUAAUUUUAAUAAAAAAUUAAAGUAUAUUGUAAUAAAAUAAAUACUACA